UACGGGGGGGGCAAGCGUUGUUCGGAAUUACUGGGCGUAAAGGGCUCGUAGGCGGCCAACUAAGUCGGAUGUGAAAUCCCCAGGCUUAACCUGGGAACUGCAUCCGAUACUGGAUGGCUUGAAUCCGGGAGAGGGAUGCGGAAUUCCAGGUGUAGCGGUGAAAUGCGUAGAUAUCUGGAGGAACACCGGUGGCGAAGGCGGCAUCCUGGACCGGCAUUGACGCUGAGGAGCGAAAGCGUGGGGAUCAAACAGG
rnacentral:rRNA from 1 species